rnacentral:rRNA from 1 species
GACAAACAUGGCCAAAUUAAGGUUAGUACAGUAAAAAAGAAGGUAAGAGGAAUAGGGCAAUAAUUGGAUGUGCUUUGUGAAAGAGAAAUUAUAUUUUUUGUAGAGGUGGAAUUUGAAUAAAAAAAGUAAUUUGCUGUUCUCUAUCUAAUAACUUGAAUCCUUGAAAUCUCAACUAAAGACCGGGAUUAGAUACCCCGUUAUUUGAGGUGUAAAUUUUAAUUUUAUUUAAUGAAUUUACUAGAGUAUUACGAGUUCUGUAAACUUAGUGUUUAUUUGAGUAGCUUAAAACUCAAAAGACUUGGCGGUGCCUUAAAUCCUUUCAGGGGAACCUGUCCUGUAAUUGAUAGUCCACGAUUUAUCUUUCCUUUUCUUGAAUAUUUAAAAAUCAGUUUGUAUACCGUCGUCGUCAGAUUACCUCUAAGAGUAAAGAAGUUAUCAGCUAGAUUAUUACAUUUUGCUGUGUCGAAAGUGAUACUAGCUUUUGUAAAAUUUCUGGACGUCAGAUCAAGGUGCAGCCUAUGAGAAGGAAGAGAUGGGUUACAAUAAUUAUUUAUUAUACGAAUUUUUUACUGUAAAGUAAAUUUGAAGGAGGACUUGAAAGUAAUAUGCUAAGAGAAAUAGAGAGUCUCGGUGAAGAUGGCUCUAAGGCGUGC